CUUGACUGUAUCUUGGAAUUGGGUUCGGGCUUUUCUUGCGCAGACUAGGUGGGAGGCUAUGAAGAUUUUCUUCCGGGGAAGUUGGAGCCAACAGUGAGAGACCACUCUGGAAAGGCUAGAAUCCUAAUGGUGAUCCUUGAAUCAGGACACUUGACAGUUUCAGGCGGGCAGUUUUUCUGGGGCGGAAGCCUUUGUCUUUGUACAUGGGGCAACUCUUUCAGCAAUGAAAGGUGAAACAACAAAUAAAAGUGCUGGAACAUCUCAUUUUUCGGUUUUUCAAGAAAGUUUUGAAUUUGAUAAAAUAGGUUGAAAAGUUUGAAAGAUUGAGCACACGUUUUUCGUUCAAAAGAGCAAAAAACGUA
rnacentral:rRNA from 1 species